rnacentral:misc_RNA from 1 species
AGUUAUCUAAUAAAUAUGAAAAAGUUGGAAUUAAACUUGAACCCUAUGGAGUUAAUAAGAACUCAUCUAAAAAUAUUCGUCACAAAUAAGUAUAACUAUGACAUCAUUAAGAUGCCUUUCAAAUUAACUAAUUAUUGAGACUCAUGAUCUGAAAAUUCCUUUUUUCCCUAAUGCUAUCAAAAUCGUUUUUUUAUUUAUCGGUCCUUUAAUAUACAGACCAAGCUUAUUCCUGCAAAUCCAUAAAACAAGUAUAACAACGAUUCCAGUGCUAGGCGGUGCAUAGCGUGUCUCCGGAAAAUUUAUUUCUGGGGCUCCCAAAGCAAUUUUCGCAUUUUGCAUUGCUCUAGAUAAGCCAUUUAUUGGAGAAAGUUAUAAAAGGCUUUUUCGUUUGGAGGGACAUUUAGUAGCGAUUCAGCAUAGGAAGCCAUAUCAUCUAAAAGAAAGACGACUACCAAGAAAUAGAAACUUUCAUAAAGGAAACAGCUGUAUAAUGUUCAGUACAACAGGAAGUACCACCUUAAAAAAGCAGCGCCCCUCAACCAGUUAUUUGGUACGACCUAAACUGGGAGCAGUGAAGUCUCUUUAUAGCAAUAGACCCCUAUCAGCUCUUUCUAAUGAAAAACGAAAAAAAAGCAGAAAGUCAACUACCCAACCAAAAAUGGAUAUCAGAAGGAAGCCGGAUUAUGCAGAUACAGCCUAUCGUGAAGCAGUAGGUCGAUUGAGGAUACUCAUGGCUGAAAGUUACAUACCAACUAGAAGGAUUUAUGGUUCCUCCAGACCAAUAAGAGAAUUAGAUAGCGCUGGCGAAGAAACAGAUAAUCAGUCAAUUCUAAGUGGCGCAAGCAGAACUUCAAGAAGGCCUCAUUAUAAUUAUAGUUUUAAUCCCAUUACCCCCAAAAAGUAUUAUUAUCCACCAUUAAAAAGCAAUGUGGGAACGUUGCGGAGUGAAUCUGUUGUUGAGAAAUCCCUACCUCAUCAGGAGCCAUCAAAGGUGGAACUACAUCCUACCGCUGCACCUCCGGAACUAAUGUCUUUUAUUGAAAGACAAGAAGAUUACAUUGAGCAGCUCGAAAAAGAAUCGAGAUUUUGCCGGGACGAAUUAUCUUCCUUGCUGUCCAAAGUAAAAGAUGUCAUCAGCGAAAAUGAGAAUUUACACGAAAGACAAAAAUCUAAACUGAUUAAGUCCGUAUUUGAACACUUGGAAACCGAGACAGAAACCGAGACCGACUUAGAAUUAGGGGACAAACAUAAGUCCCCGAAGAAAAUUAAAAAAACCCGAAUUAUGGAUGGACCGGCAAUAGUGUUUGAAUCGCGAAUUUCGGAAUUGGAAGCGCAGCUAACGCAAGCAAAAAUCGACCUGAAAAAAGCACAAGAAGAGAAUGAACAACUAAGAAAAAAGAUGUCGGAAGGCACUUUAUUGGAAGGAAAUAGUUACGAGAAUUUUAAGCGUCAACUUGAUAACUGCAACAGGGAAAAAGAAGAACUUUUAACUAAACUAAAAGCUCUUCAGUCAGCCCUGGCCACCCUAAGAAACAAGGAGAACGACACUUGUGAUCAGGUAAAAAGAAGCUUAGACGUUGCUGAGCAAGCUCAAUAUGAAAAAAAUGCCGCUGAGUUGGAAAUUCGAAGACUCAAAGACGAAUUAGAGCGACAGCAUAUGAAGUUGAGGGAUACUAUUGCUGACCAGAGUCGUAGAGUAUCAGAUGAAAGAUCCGCAGUUGAACGACGUUAUUCUCAGCAAAUUGAGCAGCUGACUGCUGAAGUCGGUGUUCAAUGGGAAACUACUAACAAACUUCAACUUGAACUAGACAAGCAAAGAAGAGAAAAUGCUGACCUAAGAAGGGAAUGUACCCAAAAACAGGCUUUAAUUGACGAACUGAAAAAGGACAUGCAGACCAAAAUACUUACCCUGCAGUCAGAUAUUGGAGUCACUGGGGCAGAAAAGAGUGCUCUUGAACAACAAAUUUCUUCUUUAAAUAUGGCCAAUGAAAGAACUGAACGACAGUACAAACAGGAGAUUACAAGACUUCAAGCAGAGAUACAAUCUUUGAGGCAAAGAAUGGAUAGAGCCGAUGCUGACUUGAUUCAUAGUAGAAGAGAGAAUAUUCGGUUAAAUGAACAAGUGGCCGCUCUAGAGAAAGAAAUAAACCUUAAUACUGCCCUCAACGAAGAGCGUACCAAGUCAGUAACUCCAAGAUCAGGAGAAAUUAUGGCUUUACCUCCUCCAACUCCCAAAAAGGAGGAGCGUGAUAAAGAACUGGGUUCCCUAUUACAGGAUAUGGAAAACAGACAUGGGAGGAAAUACGGGAACUACAAACUAGCUUAGAUCGAUUAAACAAUAGGUUUAGUCAGACACAAUAUUCCACGAUGAAUUUACCAGAAGAUCAACAUGCAACAAAUACUCAAAGAACACUUCCCGCAUCACAAGCCACCCCUACUGCAUCAUUCCAGGAGCCCCAGAACCUCAAAAAGUCAGAAAGCAAGUCAUCUAUCAAAAUGCGCAGCCGA